AGUAUCACCAACGGUUGGUUAUUAUAACAAACAGCUUGCCGUCGUCGUCAUCUCUCUCUCUCUCUCUCUUUUUCUUGGAUUGGCGCCGGAUUUCUUCCGACGAUGGCAAGGUGCCUCGUGGAUCCUCCACGCGCGAUGGCUUCCCCUCCAAUCUCUCCUUUCUCUUUUACACCCGCGCUUCAGCUAUUUCUUGGUUUGUUCCGGCUUCUUGAUUGUUUUCUUGCUGAUUGAUUCUUUCGGCGGUGGCAAGAUUCCUCAUGGCUUGAUGGCUUCUUGUUGGUCGGAAGCAUCGGUGGAUGAGAUGAUUAAGUUCUUGGCCAACGAGAUGAUUAAGUUCGUCCAGCAGCACGCCGAAGCCUCUAUCGCCCAUCUCCUCAGCCUCAAAACAGACAGGAUUGGGGGACAGAUUUAUGAAGUAACCUGCAUACAUAAGGCAUAGAGGAUUCUUCUGUUCGAUGAGGUCAAUGACUGAACACCGGAUUCGUGUUGCUGAGGGGAUGAAGGACUUCAACUAAAUUUCUACUAAUCAGCAUCUCAACAUAAGAGAGAGGGAGAUGCUUCGAUCAGGAUGAGACAAUUAAAGUAGGAAAAAUCAUAUUGGGCCGGAGGAACAUGUUAGAAGAUUGGACGUCGGGCCGGUGGAUCGAUCGACGUAUCGACAGAAGGCUUCGGGCCGUGGACUCGAGCAUCGGGCCAAGAAGAGCGGGUAUUGUGCCAAGGAUAUCAGAGUUGCGGAGUCAACUGGCCGAUUGAGUAAUAGGCCACAGGAGAGGACGAUGCACGGACGAAGCGUCGAGGGACCAAUGACAUGCCUGACAACUUGGUUAAUUGUUUAGGAUUAAUUGUCUCGAUUGAAGUUUUGUUUUACAUGUGCAGGAUUAACUACGAUGGAAGUAAGACAUGCAGUAGGAGUGUUACGCCGGAGUCAAGACUAUGAUCACGUUGGGGGUUCGAGAGUUCGACGGAAGUCCGGAUGGUCGUCGGAAGUUCUGCGGGAACAAAUCCGAGAAGUUCAGGAGCUUGCCAAAGAAGCUUAUCGGAACUUGCCAAGUGGAUUGUCGCAAGUCCAGGAGUUUGCCGGAAGUCCGUCGGAGCAUCGCCAAAGGUUCGUCGGAUGUUCGUCGGAAGAAGCGAUUGAUGCACCGGAGCAAGUUGCAGUAAAUGUCUUAAGAAAUAUCGUAGUUAGUAUGUAGAUUAAGUUAGGAAUGGGAGGUGAUCCCAUUAACUUAAUCAGAGCUCGGUCUCCGAGCUUUGUCAGGCGGUUGUACCGCCCCAGUCAGGAGGUAGUACCGCCAGAACCCCGGAAAUCCGGGAAAUGACAUUUUUGAGCUCCAAAUUCAAACUAGUUUGGAGCCUAUAAAUACCCCUUCUAUCCCUGGGUAAAACACACAAGCACAGAGAGAUUAAAAGAGAGAAAGCGCUGCUGCAAUCUCUAGAAUUUCCCUCCUCUAGCUUAAGUGUUAGAAUUCUGUUUAAGAGAGGAGAGUGAGUGCUUGUAAGGGUUGUCUCCUAAACUCGGUAAAAGGAGAAGAGGGGUGUAAGAAGGAGGUUGAUCUUCGCCUAGUAAUGGAAGAUCGUUAGUGGAUGCCGGUGGCCUCGACGGAAGAGGAAUCGGAGGAGUGGAUAUAAGUCACGAUUGACCGAACCACUAUAAACUCUCGUCUUCUCUGGUUUGCAUUUAUUCUUGCUGCUUACCUUACUGCAAACCUCCAUAUGUGCUUUACUUCAUCAUUACUUUUGCUGCACUCAUUUACGAACUUGUUUUCAAGUUAAGUUUCCGAAAACGGUUUUACGUCAGAAACGAUUUUAUCAUACGAACGCAGUUUUAAAUCCUCGAAAGUUUUUCGCUGCACUAAUUCACCCCUCUAUUAGUACUCUUGAUCUUAACAAUUUUUAGUGACCUCAAUCACCAAAGAUUUUUUAUUUAGUAGCCAACUUGGAUAUAAACCUCAAUCACCACCCGCACACCAAAAAAGUAAGAAUUUAGUACACUAAACCAAGCAAAUGUCUUGGAUGGAGUUUCACAUUAGCAAAUACAAAAGAGAUCAACUAUUCUAUGCUAAUAGUUGGCAUGCCUAUAUCAUUCUUUUUUUUUUUGUUUUUUGCCUCAAGUACAAUUUGCUAGUUUAUUGAAAUUUAUCCGCUGUUGCUUUACCUAGCAAAGUAGUCCGUGAGAUGAAGAGGCUAAUACCAUCGGUUUCUCCACUUUGGACACUGUACUAGCGGGACUGGUUUGUUCAACUCAAUGCAUAAUAUUGUUUUAUCCUUCUUGUUAUUGCUUUAGAACUGAUAUGUAUACUUCUUUGUCAUAAGAUUUAAUUUUUGCGGAUGAAUGACAUGUUAAUCUGCGCAUGUGCAUUUUUCUUAGUGUAGCUAUAGGCAAGGGAUAAAGGAAUGAUUGGGGAAACAAGGUCAAAGUAGGAGAAAAUUCUUUAUUUCUCGUAAAGUGCCUCGUCUUAGAUGAGUAGUUCUUCUACGGAUAAGGCAAUGUUUGGCAGGUUAGGAAAUAUAUGCCAUAGGAUAAAAGAUUUCAAAGUAUUAAAAUGUUGCAUUAAUAUAAUCAUGGAAUUGAAGUACCAGGAUUUUUCUAAACUUUGGCGUUUGAGUGUUAACAAAGUUGAUGCUAUGAAGUUUAAUGGAGUUAUAAGCGAUG